CCAUCCCCUUCCUGUGCUCAUGCCUCUCCUCCGGUGUCACGUCCUUCCGGUACCCCUGCCCUCGCCCAACAUGGCGGCAGCACAGCCUCUUCCGCCCUUCCGAACUAGGAGUGCAGAAAAAGAGCAAUUGCUUUCAGCUUUGCAGAGGAGCCCGUAGUAUCCAAACUACAGUACUUCCGUGAGAGCUGUGAAGCAGAGCUCCCUCCACUGGCUCUGCUGUGACAGGACAGCUCCCUCAGGCCUCCUCUCCCCACAACUGUUAUCUGGGGCAGCCAUCAGUGGGAGAGCUUUGCUGGAGGUCCAGCUCCUUCAGGCACCUCCAGCCCCUGAACUGUGCCAGCUGGUCAACAUAGGAACAACUGUUUAGUGAUUUGUGACUGAGAUUUGAUAUUCCUCUUCCCUCCCUGCCCCCUUUGCCUGUGGGUAGGGACCAUCUUGCUUUGAUUGCAUUUAAGUUGUCUGGUGGCCUUGUUGGCUGAACAGCGAGGCACAAAUGUUCCAAAUAAAUAAAUCUCUAUACACAGUAUAGAAAAUUAGU